AUCCAGUCAAUGUCAAAUGAUUGUGGAUGAUCCACAAUGUCUUCUGCCCAGGUUCUCUCUAGCUUGGGCAGCUGGACUUUGUCGAAUUUUGAAAGAUCUUUGCACGAGAGAUGCCAAACGUGCUGUUUGCCCUUUUUGUUCUUUCCACCACCUGAUCCCUGUCUUGUUAGGCCUCUUGGCUGAAGCAGAAGCUUUGAGGGGGGAAGGGGUUGGAGAAGCAGCCUGUGCCAUUUCUCAUGUAUGUUUUUUACUUAACACAGACUGAUUCUGAAGGUGAAGGGAAAAUGUCAGCUGCUGUCCAGCUUCCCACUGCAAACAGCAACAGGUUGGAUGCUGGCUCUGCUGCAGUGGAAUGUGGCAAAGGGGUCUUGAAACAAGCAUAUAGAGAAGGGAUGAAGGAAGAUGGAGUCAUGCAGUCAGCAGGGGGAACAGCAAAAGACGAAGACAACGAUUCUCCCUGGGAUCCUGAGACUGAUUCUGAAGGUAAGGGGAAGGCAUCGGCCAAUGUACAACUUCCUGCUGCACCGCAAAACAGAGUGGGCGUGAGCUCUGCUGCAGUGGAGCACAUCAAAGGUAAUUUCAGAGGGACUACAUGGUUACCUUUGUGAGCCUCUCUGGAGUGAUUCAGUUUUGGGUAAACAAAUUGAAAUAAGCACAUACAACAGCAACACUCUUUUUUUGUAAAAUCUCUAUUAUCAGCUGCAAGAGUAGAACAGAAGGAACAUUUCAUCUCCUCUUCUGAGAAUAAGGUACUUAGCUCUCUUCCUCAGCUCUGACACUACCCUUGGCAGAAGUCAUGUUUCUUCAUGCUCUCUGCUUGAAGGCAGUUUGAUGCUGCAGUCCUGCUGAGGAUUCGUUUCCCAACUCUUGUUUCUCUUUUUUCUUUCUUGCUUAGCUUCCUGCAUUACACGGAGACGAUCUUCAGCUAAAGGUUGAUUCUUCAACUCAAACAGCUUCUGAACAGUACAAACAGGUGACUCUUAGAGACAGGUGCAAAUAUCCCUAAAUGGAACCUAUCAGUGUAAGCACGUGUUCUUGCUAGUGAGUUCAUUUUGGAACAAUGCUGAGAGAAGGUAGUUAAUCUGGACCUGAGCUGUAGUUUGGGCCUAAUUUCAUAUGUAUUUGAAUCAGAUGAGCUGUAAAAAGAAGCUGCUUGAUGUCCCAUUCAUCUUCAUUUUGAACACGUCCAGGGAUGAGCACAACUCCUCUGGACAACCUGGUCCAGUGUUCCAUCACAAUACUUGGAAAUUUUUCUCCCAUAUAUCUAAUCUAAAACUACCAUGUUUUCAUUUCAAACCGUUACCCUUUGACGUGUCACUACAAUCCUUGGUAGAAAUAUCUCUCCUUCUUUCUGUGCUAAAAGGCUUUAAUAAGAUUUGGCCAAAGCCUUGCUUUUUCCAAGACUGAAAAAUCCCAUGUCCCUCAGCUUUUUUCCAUGGGAGAGGUAUUCCAGCCCUGUGAAUGUCUUUGUGGCCCUCCUCUGGCCUCUUUUCAUCAGGUCUAUGCCUUGUGCUGGGGGCCUCAGGGGGUGACACAGUUCUUUAGGUGGAGUCCCACAAGAGCAGAGUAGAAAGGGAGAAUUGCCUCCCUAAACCUGGUGGCCAAACAAUCUAAUGAUGUAAUUUCAUCAGUAAAAACAUUGCUUUUGUUGUCAUGUUUGCACUGAUUUUGCCAUGCUUAUGAAAGACCAUUUCCUUAGCCAUUGGCCAAGGAAAUCAGUGUAGGAGAGAUGAAGUAACACAGGUUUUGAAAGUUAACGUCAGAAUCAAAGCACUCUACUUUUUUAAGAUAUAAAAGCUUUCUACUGGGGAUUGUUCUUGUGGUUUGACAGCUCAAGUACCUGAAAGAACCUUUUCACAAGAAUGAUUAUUAUGCUGAGUCAGUAAAGAAUGUCCUAAAGGAGAAGAAGGUACUAACAGUUCUGAGGAACUUGCAAAGCUGCCUGGCUGAUUGUUUGGAUUCUUCAGCUGCAGCUAUCCCCCAGCUGGAAGAGCGCAUUCGACGGUAAGACAGUGGAGCAAGGCUUCACUUUUCGUGAUUCUGUGAACACAACAGGACUGUCAUCUUGCAUCCCAGUGAGAUGCUAAUACACAAUUUUCAAAGAUGCUUUUGUUUUAGAACAUGUUCUUUCAUGCUCUUUCAUUGGGGUUUGUUCUCUUUUGGACUUCUAUCAUAAGGCCUGUACUUCUUUUUCAGGCUCCAAAUUCAAAGGGCAAGGCUGGAAGCCACAAUCCAGCAACAAGCCAAGACAAUUGAAGCUUUAGAGAAAAUCCAGCAAGUCUCUUACCGCAGUAAGCUACUCAGAGCUUUCCCUGUUCGUGAUCCGCAGAGCCUAGUUCAUGUGAGAAAAUUUUUUAAAUUUCAGGUUUUCCUAGAGACAGUCUUGGAGAGAUCAGACCAUGUAACUAGAUAGCCUGAAAGACCCAACCAUAUUCUAGAAGAAUGGGUGUGGAGGUACAUGUUGGAAGGAAGAUAUAUAGUAGGUGGUUUGGGAAGUCUGUACAUUCCUAGUACCUCAGCCAAUGCGGAAAGGAGGAGGGCAACAUGAAGUUGGGAGUUUAGGAUCAAAGGAGGCUGGAUCCUCCAAACACUUGAGAGACCCCGCAGGGUUAUGGCCCACUAGACUCUCCCUAUAUUCAAAUAAAGUUGAUUUUUGCAGGACUCCUCUGUGGACACCGGUCUUCGACACUGUGAUUUUCCACACACUAUCAAAAACUGCUUUGGAGAGAAGUUUGCAAAGUGAGCAAAUCCCUGAGGCUGGGUGCCCUGCGGGUGUUUCCACCAUUUUGGGUGUCUGUUCCUAUAAGCUUUGUAAUAGUUAGCAAUUUUGUUCUAGUGAUUACUAUCUAGUGAUUAGUUACUAUUAUUUUGUUCCCAUAAGAUUUGUAAAAGUUAGCAAUUUUGUAUCUAGUGAUUACUAUCUAUGAUUAGUUACUGUUAGUCUGUUCCCAUGAGAUUUGUAAAAGUUAGCAAUUUUGUUCUGGUGAUUACUAUCUAGUGAUUAGUUACUAUUAUUUUGUUCCCAUGAGAUUUGUAAAAGUUACUAAUUUUAUAUCUAGUGAUUGCUAUCUAGUGAUUAGUUACUGUUAUUUUGUUCCCAUGAGAUUUGUAAAAGUUAGCAAUUUUGUAUCUAGUUGUUACUAUCUAGUGAUUGCUUCUGUUAUUUUUUUGCCUGUUGCUGUUUCACUUAUCAAUAAAUUGUUAUAUAUUCACUUAUAUCUACUUGUAUUUAUUUGUUCCUUAUUGGUGGACAAGGGACUGGAGGGAACUAAGGGGAGGUAAUUCAUUCUAAAGCAUCCAGCUCUUUAAACUGUUUUAAACCAAGACCUAUUUUUUAGAACUACCCUGGAAAGAUUAUUAUUGAUAUUGUUCUUGGUAAAUAGGCUUCCUGGAUGGCCAGAAGCUUUUGUCUGUCACACUAACAAAACUCAAGAAGUAACUGAAGUUUUGUUAAAGGAAAUUAUAUCCAGAUUUGGGCUACCACUGGGCCUGUCUUCAGCCAAUUUUAUUCUGUGGCUGAAACAACUCAAAGUUUAUGCAAAGUGCUUGGGAGUCACAUGGUAUCUCCACACUCCUUAGAAACCUCAGUCCAGUGGAAAAGUAGGAAGGAUAAAGCAAAACUUGAAAUGGCAAAUAAGUAAGAUUUGUCAAAAAACUUCACUAACAUGGCCUCAGGCUUUGUCUUUAGCCUUAUUAAACCUUAUUAGCCUAGAUUGAAAGAAAUAUUAAGUCCUUAUGAAAUUAUUUAAGGCAGGCUGUAUAAAACUAACUAACUCAGGAGAAAGCCAUGUGUUAGGAAACAGUAAUUUAAAAGAGUAUUUUUAUAUUUGGGAAAAGAGCAUUUUUAUCUUUGAGAAAAGAGCUCUCAGUUUUGCAUAGGCUUGUUGUUUAGCAUCCUCAACAGCCUUGGACAUUCAGGUACAUCUUCAUCAGCCCAGGGAUUAGGUAUAUGUCCACGUGUGGAAUGAUGAACCACUUUAGGAAAAGUGGAAAAGACCAUUCCAGGUUCUCCUGGCUACCCACAUGGCUGUGAAAGCUGUUGGCUGAGGCUCCUGGAUUCACUACACCUGGACAAACCCAGCUCCAAACCAGGAAACACUUCACUGGACUGUUCAGCAGACAGCAAAACCUUUACAGAUACGAUUGAAAAGAAAUGUUAAUAAAUUGUACUUAAA
ensembl:lncRNA